UGUCCCAUUUUGAUGUUUUGAUUAGGGAUUGUAAACUUUUGAAUAUAAAGCCGCCUUAAAAUCUAAAUACUACAGAAUCUCUUGAUGUCGCCAUAAAAUUUUCCCUUCGACCACCUCAGUAUUUCACCGACGCGGGCCGUCCGGGUUUCUUGUUACCGAUUCAUCUUCUUAAUGUUAUGCAGGUUGAAAAGUGGUUUUGAAUCCGUAAUUAUUUAAGAAACAGAAAAGGAUGCGAAGGGAAAUUAUACUUUUAUGCUUUGGAUGAUGAAGAUUACGUUUAGCAGAUGCCAAUGGAAUCACAGGAGCCGUUAGAUUUGGUUCAUUGUUCGUUGUUCGUUGUUCGGCCGAUGAUCGCGCCAAAGCUCUGAUGGGUUUUCGGUCCAUUCCACUCGAGGUUCAUGCAACGGCUGUGGAAUCUGAACAUAUGCAGCUUGUGUUUCUGAUGGCAUGUAAGUUGAAAGCUCGCUUCGAGCUACUGAGAGAUCGUUUUGAAGAUCUUCAAGUCUCUUUUGAAGAAUUAAAAUAAAGCGGAUGCAGCCACACAUAGGCCAAUGCAGCCAAGCCUCUGCCUCAUAGACCUAAGAGUCGACAGCUUCAUCGCGUACAUCAUAGCUCAAAAAUGCACACUCCUGUGAACAACUUGGAAUUUCUGAAGCUGGUCUGCUGGAAAAUGUGGCGCAAAAAUGCAAUCUGGAAGACACUUUCUUCUUAGAAGUUUACAGGCUGCACAUGGUGAGCCGUAAUUAACUGAAGGCUUAUCAGAUUGGGAUUUAGAAGAACUCAAUGAACAAAACUGGUUCUCUUGUUUACUUUUCAUGAGAUAUUCACUCCAAUUACUCUACUUAUAUCUGUACUAAUUUUCUUAUCUAUUAAAAUAAGAAUUUGAAGGCUCCUAAUUUGAAAUUUU